rnacentral:rRNA from 1 species
ACACAUGCAAGUCGAGCGGAUGAUGGGAGCUUGCUCCUGGAUUCAGCGGCGGACGGGUGAGUAAUGCCUAGGAAUCUGCCUGGUAGUGGGGGACAACGUUUCGAAAGGAACGCUAAUACCGCAUACGUCCUACGGGAGAAAGCAGGGGACCUUCGGGCCUUGCGCUAUCAGAUGAGCCUAGGUCGGAUUAGCUAGUUGGUGGGGUAAAGGCCUACCAAGGCGACGAUCCGUAACUGGUCUGAGAGGAUGAUCAGUCACACUGGAACUGAGACACGGUCCAGACUCCUACGGGAGGCAGCAGUGGGGAAUAUUGGACAAUGGGCGAAAGCCUGAUCCAGCCAUGCCGCGUGUGUGAAGAAGGUCUUCGGAUUGUAAAGCACUUUAAGUUGGGAGGAAGGGCAGUAAGUUAAUACCUUGCUGUUUUGACGUUACCAACAGAAUAAGCACCGGCUAACUUCGUGCCAGCAGCCGCGGUAAUACGAAGGGUGCAAGCGUUAAUCGGAAUUACUGGGCGUAAAGCGCGCGUAGGUGGUUUGGUAAGAUGGAUGUGAAAUCCCCGGGCUCAACCUGGGAACUGCAUCCAUAACUGCCUGACUAGAGUACGGUAGAGGGUGGUGGAAUUUCCUGUGUAGCGGUGAAAUGCGUAGAUAUAGGAAGGAACACCAGUGGCGAAGGCGACCACCUGGACUGAUACUGACACUGAGGUGCGAAAGCGUGGGGAGCAAACAGGAUUAG